rnacentral:lncRNA from 1 species
GUUUCUCUUUGCUUCUUGUUGUACAGACUACCACCGGCUGGCUGGUUUGCUCUGGACAGUGAGGCCUUCCAUGUGGCAUCUCCAAAGUCUGUCAUAUCAUUUGGAGCAGAGCCUAGAUCCUCCCCUGUGUGUCUAGUCUGGGAGAAUAUCCCUCCAUGUUGAGAGGACUCCAAAAGUCCAUUUGUGUACUAGGGGUGGAGGUGAGACUGGCAUUGUGAUGUUGGCAGACUCUGGAUGGCUUGGUCUGCUGGGACGGGUUCCCCUGUUCACAGUCCCCAGCCCUCAAGAAGUUCUGUGCAGGGCCAGAAGCAGGCCAAUGCUUGUCUCCUCCCAUGCAGGGAGGAGGGACUAUCGCCACAAUACUGGCCAACUCUGGAUGGCCUGGUCCGCCAGAACAUGUUCCACCUGUGAAAAUACUAUUUAGGAUGCCAAGAGAGGGAAGCCCUAUCCAGAUGAAAGAACUGUGAACAAUGGCAAUUAGCAGCCUGGCAGAUGAUCUAAAAGGUAGAGGUGACACGCACAUGAUGGUGGGAGCCAACAGUUGUCUGAUAGGACACAAGGACCACUCUACAGGAGAGAGAAGAUUAAGAUUAAGGAAGAAGGAAAUACUAUAAACUGUCCUGAUUUGACCUCAAC